UUGGAAAUAUGACGGUUGUCGCAGUGUUCCACCAGGACUAACCGGGGAUGGAGAGGAUGGUAUAGCACUCCGAGUCGAGGAACGAGCUAUCGUUGAGGGCGGCUGAGGUGAUGAACCUGAUGAGGGACUGCUCUGGUACGAGGCGAGAUCACCGAUUCCACGGGUCUUUCGAAGGGAGAAUAAAAGGGAAAAACAAAGGCUUUUAGAUGCGAUCGUAAAGAAUGAAAUGUAGGAUGAUCACCUGGUCUGAGCGAGCAUCUUCGUUACGAGGGAAGGGCGCACGAUACCGAAGGGAAGUCGUAUAACUGAUACGCGAAAACCGGUGGUGAACGGUACACCCCGAGGCCACCAAACGCAAAA